rnacentral:tRNA from 1 species
AUUUCUAAUUUAUAUAGUUUAAAAAAAACAUUACUUUUUCAUUGUAAAAUUAAUUAAUAUUUAUUUUAUAA